rnacentral:misc_RNA from 1 species
GGGCUCUAAAUUUGAAGAUGUGUCCACAUCUUCUCCAUUAACAUAACUAGCAAUCUUGUAAUCUGCUACAGGUACUUUCCCACGUCCACAAUGAACCUCAGCAGCCAAGCCAGAAUACUGUAUGCUGUUUAUUAGCUCUUGAGGAUGUUCAAUGCGCAAUCCAACAGCAAAAUCUUUUGGGACCAAGUGAAAAUUAUGAGAAAGAAGCAUUUGAUAUAUAUCACGUGCA